GCUAGUUAGCUCAGUUAGCAGUGUAGCUCGCUGACUCUGCCCAGACCUGACUGGGACAUGGGAAAUGUUGGUGUGUAAGCAGCCUGACAUCUGGCAUUAUGACAGAAGCAAAGGUGCUUCUGUUGUUUGACGGCAGAAGCUAAGAAAGGAAAAAGAC